GAAAUAGUUCCACUAGAGAACUCCUUGCAAAUUCAGAAAAGUUCUAGAUUUUCUAAAGUGAGUUUGAAAGGAACAAGCAGACAUAUAGCAGAGACAUGCAUCAAUGAAGAUUCUUCAAGCCAUUUUAAAUUAUUAAGGACAGUUAUGAUAAGAACUUUAUGAAGCACAUUGUGUUUAUUGUAUAAUGGUGUA
rnacentral:lncRNA from 11 species